UACGUAGGGUGCAAGCGUUAAUCGGAAUUACUGGGCGUAAAGCGUGCGCAGGCGGCUUUGCAAGUCAGAUGUGAAAUCCCCAGGCUCAACCUGGGAACUGCACUCGAAACUUCCGGUCUAGAGUGGUGGAGAGGGAAGUGGAAUUCCUGGUGUAGAGGUGAAAUUCGUAGAUAUCAGGAGGAACACCAGUGGCGAAGGCGGCUUCCUGGACACCAACUGACGCUGAGACGCGAAAGCGUGGGGAGCAAACAGG
rnacentral:rRNA from 1 species